UACGUAGGGUGCAAGCGUUGUCCGGAAUUAUUGGGCGUAAAGAGCUCGUAGGCGGUUUGUCGCGUCUGCUGUGAAAACUCGGGGCUUAACUCCGGGCCUGCAGUGGGUACGGGCAGACUAGAGUGCGGUAGGGGAGACUGGAAUUCCUGGUGUAGCGGUGAAAUGCGCAGAUAUCAGGAGGAACACCGGUGGCGAAGGCGGGUCUCUGGGCUAUAACUGACGCUCAUGCACGAAAGCGUGGGGAGCAAACAGG
rnacentral:rRNA from 1 species